AUGUGGUGAUGGUGCGAUGAUGUUUGUAGAUUUCAGCAGGCGAGCGGGAUUCAAUUUUGUGGUUAAUUACACGAAUCCAACACGACCAACAGCCACAAGAAACAGACGAUACGCGGGAGUAGAAAAGAAUUAGGUUCGUGAUUAGGCGUUAUAGAUUGUGGCAGCUUGAAAGUGACAGUUGUAGGCCAAAAACUGUCAAACGGAAGAAACACAGGGAGAUUGAAAGGUUUAAUUUGCUGUUCAAUUUUCCUUCGGCCGAACGCGGGGCACGAUGUCGCACGUUUGUGAAAUCGUUCGAUUGUGAGUGAACAAGCAGAAGCACCCCCCGCAAGACGAGGGGUGAACCAGCAAGUUUUCAACCCUCACCACCACCACCCUUCAUUACCUGGUGCUGUAUCACACAGUCCCGCAAGGCCCGCUGCAGAUAGAUGAUGCUCUGCAACAGUUCCACCGGCAUGGCAAACUCUUUCAUCCACUCCCAUUGUUCCUGCAUUUCGGGCUUUGGUUUGGGGGGACACUGGUCUGAGAAGGUUUUUUUCAGCCUCCCCCAAGAACCGAAGACACACCAACCGUUGCGAGGAGCGACAACAAAACACUCCCGGGACCGCCGUGCAACCGCGAAGGAGGAGGAAAUUGCCAGAAACAAGGGCGAGUGGCACGGAUUACGAACGAGCGGAUGCACUGCUUGUUGGCCUUUCGCGGUUUUUCUCUGUGUUUCGAACUGUCAAAUGUUUUACGCUGAAUCGCUCGCCAUUGACAGCCGAGAGACCACGCGAGGAAGAAGAACGCGAAAACAAUCUGGCCCCGUGUGCCGUUUGAAUUUCAGCGGAUGGAAAAAAGAUGAUUUUUUGGGGGAAUGUUUGAAAGGGAAUGAGAAAAAUUUGCCUAGAUAUAGAAGGAAAUGGAGGAGAAUUAAGGCUUCGUUAAAGCCCUUUGUAAUGAGCUAACCAACCGUAGCAGAAGCGUUAAUAUGGCAUAACGGAUCAAUGUGGGAAGCGAAUUAUAUCCAGUCAUGACCAAGCAAGGCUUGUCCAUCCUUUUGAACCAUCAGAAUGACCACUCCAGCAAAUAAGUACACAAGCGUUUUCUUCUUUGUUGUCUUUAUCAUUUAUUUCUUCACGAUAAUGCCCACGAAAGCAAAGUUAACGUUUCGGAAGCGGUUUCUCCCUGCGGCUUUACAUACUAUGAACACUUAAUUACCAGCUUUAGCUUUAGCUAAAGCUGACCUUGACCCGUACCCGGCAGUGAUGCGACUAUCGACUGCGAACAAAAA